rnacentral:rRNA from 12 species
CCUGGAGGCUAAGCAGGGCCGGGUCUGGUUAGUACUUCGAUGGGAGACCACCUUGGAAGACCAGGGGCUGUCAGAC